CACCCCAGCAAUGGGCGAAGAGACACCUUGUUGGUGGUAUCGUUCGUGUAUCAGUCAGUGGCAGAGCAGAUGGCAGAGUCCUAUGUUCAUCCUACCUUGAUGUCUGGCUUGGUGGUCAAAGCUGCUUUAUGCCUAGAGCAUGUUG